rnacentral:rRNA from 1 species
GCAUACUGCAGAACCUUUGGGUCUGGUUAGUACUUGGAUGGGAGACCACCUAGGAAGACCAGGUGCUGUAGGCA